GCAACUGUGGCAAAGACCUAAUUCCUGCCCGCUUCCUGCCCUGAUGGAGGCUCCUGACCUGGGCAGCCAUGAUGGCGCCACGAAUAGGAUGGGGAGACAGUAACAAGGACCCACAAAGGUACAGACAGCUAUACAAGCCACCAGAAGGAGGAAAUGGAAAUUCAUCUUCUGUGCUGUUGUGUGACUUCUUAGAAAGAAAAAACACUGACUCAGAGAAGUAUUUGCAUUAGUUGUGAAAAUCAAAUUCAUAUAGCAUGCAUCAUAAAUGCCCCCACAAGAUUGGAACAUGAGCCUUUAUUUUUGGCAUCUGCAGGGUACCAUGCACGGUCAUAUUAACUCAUUGGCGACCCCGUUGAGUUAAGUGUCCGGCAUUUUGCAGAUAAGGCGACAGAAGCUUGGAGAGGCUGAGUCUCUUAGAUAUCCAGCUAGCAAGGGGCAGAGCAGGAAUUUGAACCCGACUAAACCACAUGGUUUCUCAGAAGAGGACGAGGCCACCCCUCCAGUUUGACUCAGAAGACUCAAGCAGACUACGUGAAAGAGUUGGUGUUUGCGGAGGACGGUUAAGGAAGGCUUUGUCCCUCUGACAGAAGCUGGCGGGCCCUCGAUGGGGAUAGAUGGGAGAAUCCAGUAGAAUGUGACCACACAGACAAGGCUGGCAAGCGUGAAGCAUUUUAGAUAACGUGUAAAAAUAAUAACUAGUAUUGUUGAUGUUAAUACUGAAUAAGAGAAAUGGUAUUACUAAUAUUAAUGCUGGCUGCCACUGCUGAGAGCAGAUCUUGUCCCAGGAACCCCACACGCGUCAUCCUCCACGCUCGCAAGGGUCCUGAGCGGCCGGCGUCACUCUCAACGUCCAGAUGUCUGCCUGCGGCUCAGGGAAGCAGCUUACCUUGCUCAGGACCCCACAGGGCGGGAGGGGCGGAGCCUGGGUUCCUGCCAGCCCCUCCUCCGGCACAAAAGCGGGCGUCCGGCCACCAGCCCCUCUCUUCCUCCGCUGCUCCCUCCCACUGUUUCCGACUCAAGACAAGACUGGCUUUUGAGGACAAACAGGGCAGUGAUCCUUCUGCUAAAGUCACUCAGUUUUCCUCAGUUGUUUCUCUGGCACGUGGCCCUGCAGACAGACGGAGAGCGAAACGACGCCUAGCACGGAGCCACAGAGCAGCCAGGCCCAGGCCCUCUCUGCCCAGGGGCAUUCAGCAGAAAUGCACCCUGACGGGUGGCCUUGGCAGGGGCUCCAGGGAGGACGUGGAUUCAGCCAUGUUAGGGGACUGGCUUUUGCAACACAGGUGCCUGUUUGCAGGUGGUAUGCAAGUCUUACACACAAAAGUACCCGUGCAUAGACAUGUACACACAUACCCGGGUGCCCACAGAUUUGUACACAAAUGCACCCACAAAAACACAUGCACGUUCAUACACGCAUGUGUAUUUAUUUAUGAUUGGUGUGCCAGGUGGAGGAGUAGUUUCUAGCAAGUGCUUUGUUUGUCCAUGACUUUCUCUGGAAGAGCCAGGGAAAGAGGAUCUCCCAGGGCGCCCUGAAUCUCGCUCUUGGUAUUGGACCAGGACCAAACACUGUUUCCUCUUUGGGUGUAGUCACUGCUCACAGCUUUUUGUAUCUUGUUUUAAGAGAAAGAAAGGAAAAUCAUAGAAUCACAAUGUUGUCCAAUCCUCUGCAAUGGCUGUUGAUCACUGUAUACCAAGCCCUGUGCUGACCGAGUGAGAAAUUCAAAAACAAAUAAGGCAAGGUCUAGUCCUUAAGGCCCUAGAGCAGGGGUCCACUAACUAUGGCCCCCAGGCCAAAUCCGGCCUGCUACCUGUUUUUGUAAAUAGAGUUUUAUUGGAACAUAGCCAUGCCCAUUCAUUUACAUCUCCCCUCUGGUUGCCUUUGUGCUCUAACGGCAGAGCUGAGUAGUUGUUACAGAGAUGAUACGGCCCACAAAGCCUAAAAUAUUUACUACCUGUUCCUUUACCAAAGAAGUUUACCUAUCCCAGUCCCAGGGAACUGUGUUGGAGAGAAAAUGCAUACAGCCCAAAGGAUAAUGACCUUGACCAGACAGCCCGUGCUGCGUGGCCUGUGAGCAUUAUGGAUGGAUCCCAACAACUCGGUUCCAGUGGGAGAGACUUCACCCUGCUCCCGGGUGCAUGUGACCCAGGCCUGGCCAGUCAGGCAUCAGUUCCCCCUCUGAUGACAGCAAUGGGCUCAGGAUGAGCAUGUGGCCCAGUUCUGGCUGCAGAGCCAAAGGAACCCCAUCCCAGACUUGUGUUAUUCCCUCCCCCUUUAUGAACAAGAGGAGACGUGACCGCAACAGUCACCUUGCAAUCAUGAAAGCAGAGCCUCUGAGAAGGAAGCCAGAGGUGGAAGCCAACACAGCGGAGACAGACUGAAGCAAGGAGAGAAUGUGAGUCCUCGCAAUAUGAUCUGAGCCCUGAACCAGCUGGGCCUGAAGUGGGAGCUAUCCCUGGACUUUCGGAAGUUUCUCGUGUUCAUCUCAAUCACAGCCUCUGCUCACCUCUGAGAACAUCACCCUCCUGACCCUCAUGGAAUGAGAAUGAAAGAACAAAUGAUGAAUGAAUGAAUAAAUGUCCAUCCAUACAAGGAAUAUCAUUCAGCCAUAAAAAGGGAAUGAAGUACUGACACAGGCUACGAUGUGGAUGAACUGUGAGAAGAUGAUGCCAAGCGGAAGAAGUCACACUUGCGUGAUUCUGUUUACGUGAAAUGUCCAGAGUAGGCAAAUCCAGAGAG